rnacentral:rRNA from 1 species
GUUAAGCGACUAAGCGUACACGGUGGAUGCCCUGGCAGUCAGAGGCGAUGAAGGACGUGCUAAUCUGCGAUAAGCGUCGGUAAGGUGAUAUGAACCGUUAUAACCGGCGAUUUCCGAAUGGGGAAACCCAGUGUGUUUCGACACACUAUCAUUAACUGAAUCCAUAGGUUAAUGAGGCGAACCGGGGGAACUGAAACAUCUAAGUACCCCGAGGAAAAGAAAUCAACCGAGAUUCCCCCAGUAGCGGCGAGCGAACGGGGAGCAGCCCAGAGCCUGAAUCAGUGUGUGUGUUAGUGGAAGCGUCUGGAAAGGCGCGCGAUACAGGGUGACAGCCCCGUACACAAAAAUGCACAUGCUGUGAGCUCGAUGAGUAGGGCGGGACACGUGGUAUCCUGUCUGAAUAUGGGGGGACCAUCCUCCAAGGCUAAAUACUCCUGACUGACCGAUAGUGAACCAGUACCGUGAGGGAAAGGCGAAAAGAACCCCGGCGAGGGGAGUGAAAAAGAACCUGAAACCGUGUACGUACAAGCAGUGGGAGCACGCUUAGGCGUGUGACUGCGUACCUUUUGUAUAAUGGGUCAGCGACUUAUAUUCUGUAGCAAGGUUAACCGAAUAGGGGAGCCGAAGGGAAACCGAGUCUUAACUGGGCGUUAAGUUGCAGGGUAUAGACCCGAAACCCGGUGAUCUAGCCAUGGGCAGGUUGAAGGUUGGGUAACACUAACUGGAGGACCGAACCGACUAAUGUUGAAAAAUUAGCGGAUGACUUGUGGCUGGGGGUGAAAGGCCAAUCAAACCGGGAGAUAGCUG